AUGAUACCGGAGAAGCGGCAGCGGCAGGCCCGGCUCCUUGCCUCCUCCACUGUCUUGAUUUCUUGUUCUCAGCUGGGAAGAAGGGAGACUGGAGACAUUCUGAAAGACAGUGUCAGAUUCACAAAUCCCCAAGAAGAGCCAGAGAAACUCACUUUUAGGGAAUUUUGGAAGUGGGAAGUUUAUCGUGCCCUGGAUGGAGUGAGAGGUCUCCCCAUGGGGGUGUCGGGAGGAGCUGCCCAGGGCCCUCCCCUCCCUGUGGCCCUGCAGAGACUCCUGCCUGCUCUCCUCCUGCUACCUCCUCUCUCCUGGCUGCUCAUCAGCAAGAACACAUGCAGAGGACGCCUCUGCAUGCUGAAAUCCAUAUUUUUCUGCCUUGCUCACCCCUCAACUGCAGGCUACUCUGUUCCCACUUACGGAGAAUCUUCCAGAGAGACUAGAACCGCAGGAGAAUGUUUCCAUGGAUGAUCUGAGUACUUUUCCCUCUCAGUGUCGCCUGUCACUCUGUGGUCACCUCCACCCCACAUAGGUGGUCUGCAUUUGGGGGCUCAGGGAGCAUCACAAGUAGUGGACCCCAUCCAUGAGCCCAUGCCCUCCUAACAGACUCCACGUUUGGGAACACAGCACAUGGGACCUACAUAGACUAAACAUGACCUGUCAUUCAUGUGAAAUCAAAGCAUAACAGGCAUUGUGUAUUGGUAGUCUCCACAUAACCACCUGAAGUGACAUGGGUGCAUCCCCAUUGUGUCCCUCUGAAGCAUCAGCUGCACGUUUGGAUGUGCACUUUGCACCCUGACCUGCGUGUGUGGGGUUUCCCCUAUAACCCCCUAUAACGAAGAGGUCUCUGUAAUGAGAACUACUGCUCUGCAGCCAGGGUCUCCUCACAGCCUGGGGGCCUCUGGUUGGCAGCUGUGUAGGACCCUGAGGUCUGUGGAAGAGCAGGUGGUGCUGGGGGUGCAUUGUCCUGUCCCAGGCGCCUGGGGACAUGCGGACCCGGGCCCACAGGGACACGCAGCAGUGGCUGCCCUGAGUAUGGCAGGAGAUGGUGGCCUCCAGGGACAGUGCAGAGGGAGCGUGUGAGGGACGAGCCUUGGAGGACGAUGCAGGUCUGAACGAUGGAAGUCUCGUACACUGAGCAACAGGAGCCCAGGUCCCAAACACAAUCACUUGUAAAAAUAAAAGUCUCUUGCCAGGAUGAAAGAGAUCA
rnacentral:lncRNA from 12 species